rnacentral:tRNA from 1 species
UAGUUGGUGGUUCAGUGAUAGAAUUCUUGCCUUACGUGCAGGAGUCCCAGCUUCAAUUCUGGCCAAUUCA